GCAGCUGGACAUGCUAGCAGGGGUGGCAGCUAACGUCCAUCCAUUUCGGCUGUGGAGUGAAGAUUAUAUUGUGAUGCUGUGGUGAAUAUCUGAGUUAACCCAUCUGCCACUGAAGCAGUUGGUUACUAUGGAGACUGAGCAUCGUCACAAAUGCAGAAAGACACACAGUACACACAGGCCUCCGUACACCUCUGGACAGCAGCCAAUGCCACUGCAGUCACAGUUCCCGCUGUAGAUGGACUCUGCACACAUGAAGCUCUGGGGCAGCUGAUGAAAAUAGACUUGCUGCAAGAAUUUCUCUACCAAAUGACCUGGAAAACAUCACGGUUGGACUUGUCGGAAAAUAUGCGUAUCUUCUUCAAGUCUUCGUUGUAUGCACUGGCCGAU